rnacentral:rRNA from 1 species
GAAUAUGGGGGGACCAUCCUCCAAGGCUAAAUACUCCUGACUGACCGAUAGUGAACCAGUACCGUGAGGGAAAGGCGAAAAGAACCCCGGCGAGGGGAGUGAAAAAGAACCUGAAACCGUGUACGUACAAGCAGUGGGAGCCCCACCACUAAGCCAGUGGUGAACUCCACAUACGCAUCCUUUGCUGAGGAUACGGUUAACGGAGCGCAAGCGACGUUCAACCGCAAAAGAAGCAGAGGGGGCUUAGUGGUGGGGUGACUGCGUACCUUUUGUAUAAUGGGUCAGCGACUUAUAUUCUGUAGCAAGGUUAACCGAAUAGGGGAGCCGSAGGGAAACCGAGUCUUAACCGGGCGUUAAGUUGCAGGGUAUAGACCCGAAACCCGGUGAUCUAGCCAUGGGCAGGUUGAAGGUUGGGUAACACUAACUGGAGGACCGAACCGACUAAUGUUGAAAAAUUAGCGGAUGACCUGUGGCUGGGGGUGAAAGGCCAAUCAAAC